AGAGUUUGACUCUGGCUCAGGAUGAACGCUAGCGAUAGGCUUAACACAUGCAAGUCGAGGGGCAGCGAGAUGUAGCAAUACGUCGUCGGCGACCGGCGAAUGGGUGAGUAACACGUAUGCAACUUACCUCUUAGUGGUGAAUAACUCGAUGAAAGUCGAACUAAUACACCAUAUUCUCCUUAGAUCACAUGAGAAGAGGAGGAAAGAUUAAUCGCUAAGAGAUAGGCCUGCGUUCCAUUAGCUCGUUGGUAAGGUAACGGCUUACCAAGGCAACGAUGGAUAGGGGGACUGAGAGGUUGACCCCCCACAUUGACACUGAGAUACGGGUCAAACUCCUACGGGAGGCAGCAGUGAGGAAUAUUGGUCAAUGGGCGAGAGCCUGAACCAGCCAAGUAGCGUGAAGGAUGACUGCCCUAUGGGUUGUAAACUUCUUUUAUAAAGGAAUAAAGUCGGGUAUGCAUACCCGUUUGCAUGUACUUUAUGAAUAAGGAUCGGCUAACUCCGUGCCAGCAGCCGCGGUAAUACGGAGGAUCCGAGCGUUAUCCGGAUUUAUUGGGUUUAAAGGGAGCGUAGAUGGAUGUUUAAGUCAGUUGUGAAAGUUUGCGGCUCAACCGUAAAAUUGCAGUUGAUACUGGAUAUCUUGAGUGCAGUUGAGGCAGGCGGAAUUCGUGGUGUAGCGGUGAAAUGCUUAGAUAUCACGAAGAACUCCGAUUGCGAAGGCAGCCUGCUAAGCUGCAACUGACAUUGAGGCUCGAAAGUGUGGGUAUCAAACAGGAUUAGAUACCCUGGUAGUCCACACGGUAAACGAUGAAUACUCGCUGUUUGCGAUAUACGGCAAGCGGCCAAGCGAAAGCGUUAAGUAUUCCACCUGGGGAGUACGCCGGCAACGGUGAAACUCAAAGGAAUUGACGGGGGCCCGCACAAGCGGAGGAACAUGUGGUUUAA
rnacentral:rRNA from 1 species